rnacentral:rRNA from 1 species
GAUGAACGCUGGCGGCGUGCCUAACACAUGCAAGUCGAACGGAGUCCCGCCUUUAAGUCCUUCGGGGCUAAGAGGUGAAGAAUGAGUGGCGGAUGGGUGGGUAACUCGUGGGCGACCGGGGUCAAAGAGUGGGAUAAGUGAGAGAAAUUUCUUCUAAUACCUCAUAAGCACACGCUGCCUUACGGCCGAUGGGGAAAAGAGAAUGCCUAUGAGAUGUACCCGCGUCUGAGUCGCCCGUUAGCACGGUAAGCGCCUACCAUAGCGACGAUCAGUAGCCGGUAUGAGAGAGUGACCGGACACAUUAGGGCUGGGCCACGGUCCGAACUCUUACGGGAGGCAGCAGUGGGGGAUGUUGCACAAUGGGGGGAACCAUGAUGCAGCGACGCCGCGUGAGUGAAGAAGUAUUUGGGUAUGUAAAGCUAUAUAAGCAGGGAAGAUAAUGACAGUACCUGAAGAAGAAGCCCCGGCUAACUACGUG